UUGAACGCUGGCGGCAUGCCUUACCCCUGCAAGUCGCACGGUAACAGGUCUUCGGAUGCUGACGAGUGGCGAACGGGUGAGUAAUACAUCGGAACGUGCCCGAUCGUGGGGGAUAACGGAGCGAAAGCUUUGCUAAUACCGCAUACGAUCUACGGAUGAAAGCAGGGGACCGCAAGGCCUUGCGCGGACGGAGCGGCCGAUGGCAGAUUAGGUAGUUGGUGGGAUAAAAGCUUACCAAGCCGACGAUCUGUAGCUGGUCUGAGAGGACGACCAGCCACACUGGGACUGAGACACGGCCCAGACUCCUACGGGAGGCAGCAGUGGGGAAUUUUGGACAAUGGGCGAAAGCCUGAUCCAGCCAUGCCGCGUGCAGGAUGAAGGCCUUCGGGUUGUAAACUGCUUUUGUACGGAACGAAAAGACUCUUUCUAAUAAAGAGGGUCCAUGACGGUACCGUAAGAAUAAACACCGGCUAACUACGU
rnacentral:rRNA from 1 species